rnacentral:rRNA from 1 species
GACGAACGCUGGCGGCGUGCUUAACACAUGCAAGUCGAACGGAAAGGCCCUGCUUUUGUGGGGUGCUCGAGUGGCGAACGGGUGAGUAACACGUGAGUAACCUGCCUUUGACUUUGGGAUAACUUCAGGAAACUGGGGCUAAUACCGGAUAGGAGCUCCUGCUGCAUGGUGGGGGUUGGAAAGUUGUGGCUGUUGGGUAUGGUCUCGCGGCUUAUCAGCUUGUUGGUGGGGUAGUGGCUUACCAAGCACUUGACGGGUAGCCGGCCUGGGAGGGUUACCGGCCACGAUGGGCCUUGAUUACAGCCCAGACUCCUAGGGGUGGCAGCAGUGGGAAAUAUUGCACAAUAGGCGGAAGCCUGAUGCAGCGACGCCGCGUGCGGGAUGACGGCCUUCGGGUUGUAAGCCGCUUUCGCCUGUGACGAAGCGUGAGUGACGGUAAUGGGUAAAGAAGCACCGGCUAACUACGUG